ACAACCCUGUGAAAUGAAAUCGUCGGAUAUUGACCAGGAAUUAUUCACAGAAAGCUACUGUAAAGUGUGCAGCGCUCAGCUAAUAUCGGAAUCUCAGCGCGUGGCCCAUUACGAGAGUCGGAAACAUGCAAGCAAAGUUAGGCUUUACUAUAUGCUUCACCCGAUAGAUGGAGGCUGUCCUGCAAAGAAGCUGCGGUCAGAAAAUGGCAGCGACGACGACCCGGUGGAUAAGAACAAGUGCUGUACGCUGUGUAACAUGUCCUUUACUUCAGCUGUGGUGGCUGAGUCACACUAUCAAGGGAAAAUCCACGCCAAAAGGUUAAAACUGUUGCUAGGAGAGCAGCCGGCAUUAAAGGCCACAGAGACAAACCUGAGUUCCCUAAAGCAGCCACGUGUGGAUAGCACCCCAGUGGUGUCUCCACCCCACCAGAGAAGAGACUCUGACCGGUAUUGCCAGCUCUGCGCAGCUUGGUUUAAUAACCCGAUGAUGGCACAGCAACACUACGAUGGGAAAAAGCACAAAAAGAAUGCAGCCCGGGCUGAUUUACUAGAGCAACUAGGGAAGACGCUCGACCUCGGGGAGUUAAGAGGUCUGAAGCGCAGCUACACUUGUAACAUCUGUAACGUCACUCUAAACUCAAUAGAACAGUAUCACGCACACCUGAAAGGCUCCAAACAUCAGACCAACCUGAAGAACCAAUAGAGCGUCGUCGGUCUCCGAGUCACUGAAAUGUACCCAGCACAGAUUUCUUCUUCGCAGAAGAUUCCUUUGCCUACAGACAUGAUGCUUUCUUGGACUAUGAGCACUUCCUGUGUGGCAUCAUAAAUGUAUAGCUAUUCUUUGCUUUUGGACUAUGAAUGGAUUUUACUUUUAUUUUUCUUUUGUGAUUUCUUCAGAGAGUAUAAGAUCCUAUUAAAUUAUCCAUGAUUGUGAUGUAAGUAACCAGUCUUCAGCAAGAAAUAAACAUGAUAUCUUCAC